CUCCUCCAUGGAACUUCUGUUGUCAUCCAGUGGCUGAAAUCAACUGGAAGCCUACAGGGAAAGACCUGCCUCCUGGGACACAGAGCAGCUGUUGAUAUCGAUGGAAUUCCUGACCAGUAACAUUUCCAUGAAGAUCAUUACAAUUUAUUUCUUGAAAUUCUGGGAAGGCAUGGAAACAUCACAUUGCAGCAGAUGCUGGGGAUGCAGCAAUGAACAAGACAGGCCAGAUCCCUACUCUCAGAUAAACACAAUGAUCCAGGUCAGUAGGCAUUUGGUAGGAAUCUGCAUCAAACUGUUGGGCAAUGGUAGACAGCAACAUUGACGUCUGUAAAUUUACACUUGGAUUCUUAGUUUCUGGUUGGCUGCAUCCUUCUUCUGAAGGCCACUGCUCUUUUCAGAAGACCUCCCUAGAUGGCUAAGCUCUCUGGGUUGCAACAGUUGCUCUUUUUCCUUGAGCCUUAGGUUAGGGAGUUGGGAGGAAGUAAUGGCUUCCCCCACUGCUAGCUCCAGGGUGCUACACUUUCUCUUUUCUAGUUUCCCUAAUCUGGCUUACACCAUUAUAGAUAGACCCUUUAUUAAAAUAUCCUCAAUUUAU
rnacentral:lncRNA from 1 species